GACGAACCGUGCAACCGUUGUUCGGAAUCACUGGGCUUAAAGGGCGCGUAGGCGGCAGACCAAGUCCGGGGUGAAAUCUUUCGGCUUAACCGGAAAAGGGCCUUGGAUACUGGUUUGCUAGAGGGAGGUAGGGGUCUGUGGAACUUCUGGUGGAGCGGUGAAAUGCGUUGAUAUCAUCUGGAACACCGGUGGCGAAAGCGGCCCACUGGGUCUUUUCUGACGCUGAGGAACGAAAGCUAGGGUAGCGAACGGG
rnacentral:rRNA from 1 species